rnacentral:rRNA from 1 species
GACGAACGCUGGCGGCGUGCUUAACACAUGCAAGUCGAACGGAAAGGCCCUGCUUUUGUGGGGUGCUCGCGUGGCGAACGGGUGAGUAACACGUGAGUAACCUGCCCUUGACUUUGUGAUAACUUCAGGAAACUGGGGCUAAUACCGGCUAGGAGCUCCUGCUGCAUGGUGGGGGUUGGAAAGUUUCGGCGGUUGGGGAUGGACUCGCGGCUUAUCAGCUUGUUGGUGGGGUAGUGGCUUACCAAGGCUUUGACGGGUAGCCGGCCUGAGAGGGUGAACGGCCACAUUGGGACUGCGAUACGGACCAGACUGCUACGGGAGGCAGCAGGGGGGAAUAUUGCACAAUGGGGGGAAGCCUGAUGCAGCAACGCCGCGUGCGGGAUGAUGGCCUUCGGGUGGUAAACCGCUUUCGCCUGUGACGAAGCGUGAGUGACGGUAAUGGGUAAAGAAGCACCGGCUAACUACGUG